rnacentral:rRNA from 1 species
AAACUUAAAGGAAUUGACGGGGACCCGCACAAGCAGCGGAGCAUGUGGUUUAAUUCGAAGCAACGCGAAGAACCUUACCAAGGUUUGACAUCCCCUUGACAGAAGCAGAGAUGUUUCCUCCCCUUCGGGGGCAAGGGAGACAGGUGGUGCAUGGUUGUCGUCAGCUCGUGUCGUGAGAUGUUGGGUUAAGUCCCGCAACGAGCGCAACCCUUAUCCUUAGUUGCCAGCAGGUUAAGCUGGGCACUCUAAGGAGACUGCCGGUGAUAAACCGGAGGAAGGUGGGGAUGACGUCAAAUCAUCAUGCCCCUUAUAUCUUGGGCUACACACGUGCUACAAUGGUCGGUACAAAGGGAAGCGAAAGAGUGAUCUGGAGCAAAUCUUCAUAAACCGAUCCCAGUUCGGAUUGUAGGCUGCAACUCGCCUACAUGAAGUUGGAGUUGCUAGUAAUCGCGAAUCAGAACGUCGCGGUGAAUGCGUUCCCGGGUCUUGUACACACCGCCCGUCACACCAUGGAAGUUGGUAAUACCCAAAGUCGCUGAGCUAACCGCAAGGGGGCAGGCGCCUAAGGUAGGAUUAAUGACUGGGGUGAAGUCGUAACAAGGUAGCCGUAUCGGAAGGUGCGGCUGGAUCACCUCCUUUAUG